GAUGAACGCUGGCGGCGUGCCUAAUACAUGCAAGUCGAGCGAACGGACGAGAAGCUUGCUUCUCUGAUGUUAGCGGCGGACGGGUGAGUAACACGUGGAUAACCUACCUAUAAGACUGGGAUAACUUCGGGAAACCGGAGCUAAUACCGGAUGAUAUUUUGAACCGCAUGGUUCAAAAGUGAAAGACGGUCUUGCUGUCACUUAUAGAUGGAUCCGCGCUGCAUUAGCUAGUUGGUAAGGUAACGGCUUACCAAGGCAACGAUGCAUAGCCGACCUGAGAGGGUGAUCGGCCACACUGGAACUGAGACACGGUCCAGACUCCUACGGGAGGCAGCAGCAGGGAAUCUUCCGCAAUGGGCGAAAGCCUGACGGGGCAACGCCGCGUGAGUGAUGAAGGUCUUCGGAUCGUAAAACUCUGUUAUUAGGGAAGAACAUAUGUGUAAGUAACUGUGCACAUCUUGACGGUACCUAAUCAGAAAGCCACGGCUAACUACGUG
rnacentral:rRNA from 1 species